ACGCUCGACACCUACGGGAGGCAGCAGUGGGGAAUAUUGCACAAUGGGGGAAACCCUGAUGCAGCGACGCCGCGUGAGCGAAGAAGUAUUUCGGUAUGUAAAGCUCUAUCAGCAGGGAAGAAACUGACGGUACCUGACUAAGAAGCACCGGCUAAAUACGUGCCAGCGGCCGCGGUAAUCUGAGCGGGCUGGCAAGGC
rnacentral:rRNA from 1 species